GAGAUAAAAGAAGACAACCAUGCUGACAGCGACAUGAUCAUCAUUAAAGAUGACAGCGUUACUGAAGAACUCAGAAUGGAAUGAUCUUCUUGGUGACGAAGUUUUCUUAAAUUCAUACACAUUCAUCACGAUAGUUUUUGCUGUCUGUACCUACCUUGGAGUGAAGGGCUGCAUUCUCCAUGCAUCAACUUGAUCACACUAAGGAGAUAAGCUAUGUGCUGAGGCUGUCGUCCUGAGGAAAGGCUGAGAUGGUAAAGGGGUAGCCUCUACUCCUUGCUCCAGAUUUCCUGAAACAGAUAUUUCUGGGCCAGACUGAACAGUGUGGGGUCUGGGCCAGGAUUAGAAAGCAUUGCUUAAAGACUGGGGGAGGAAGAGCCACCAAACAGGAAGCCAACAAAUGAACAUUCAAAAGCCAGGAGAAAGUGUCACUGAAUAAGCCAAAGACAACGUCCCUUUUCCUAGAGG